UCAGCGCGAACGUGGCAGAGACAGGUGGAACUUUGUGACUUUGAGUUCAGCCUGGUCUACAUAAUUAACUCUAAGCCGGCCAAAGCUGCACAGUGAGACUGUGCCUUAGCCAGACCAGACCAAACCAAACCAAACCAAGUCAAAAACAAACAAAUGAACAACACUCCCCACCCCUGCCUGUCAAAUCACAGCAUACAAUGAAAAAGUAAAGGUUCUUUUUUGGAAGCUUGCUUCUCACAUUCAACAUGGGUGCAGAAAGGGCUGCAUGACUUGACGGAUACAGCCUUUUGUUUGCUUGUUUUUCGAAACAGGGUUUGUCUGUGCAGCCUUGGCUGUCCUGGAACUCUCUCUCUCUGUAGACCAGGCUGGCCUCAAACUCACAGAGAACCACCUGCCUCUGCCUCCCGAGCCCUGGGAUUAAAGGCAAGAGAGACUUCCAUCAGAAGCAGCUUAUUGGAUUAGGAAAGCGAGAGGAACAGGAGAGCUGCCCGAUCUGGUUGCAGGAUGGAGUCAAAAGGGGCCACUGGUCUUUCUGUUGGGACCGUCUGCAGUCUCAUGGUCCAGACUCCUAAAGCAUCUCAUCAGGCUGUACCACGGGGCCCUCAUAAAGACACAGCCACCUUCUGCGUUGCCAGCCGGAGUUUCCAUGAGUACAGAUUCCUGAACACAGUGGCCUCUUGGCGGUCGCCUUAUCCUGCUCUCCCCAUAGGGAGAAACUCCUCCAUCGUGGCCGAGGUGACCUGGGGAGGUUGUGGUCUGACAGCGAGAGGUGCAGCUUGGAGAGAUGGAGGAUGGGGCUUGAACCCUGGUGAUGAGUAUGUUUCCUGGAUGUGAAUUCUUUUUUUUUUUUUUUUUCCCACACGCUAAGAUCUAGUAUUGAAAAGCCCGAGGCUCACGCUGGGGGAGUCAGGCUCUGUGGAUGAGGGGGACUCUGGGUACAUCCCUCAGGGCCUUCACUCUAGUCUCGAGGAGGUGUGGUGGGAUACGCCAGCACUGGGGAUAGCAUCUCAAACCCACACACCCAGCUUCUGCUCUCUCCGGAGACUGAGGCUCAGCUGUAGGGUGGAUGCUCUUUUAUUGGCCUCCAGGCCACCAAAGCUCACCAAGGCAUGUCCCAAUCACUCAUCACUCAACAGAUUUCUCCACCAGGAGAUCCCAUGAACUCCACUGUGUUUCUUUUGCUGAUUUACCUGGCACAUAGCCACUGCCCAUGCCUACUACCCAUGUAUCUAUCACAGCUCUUGGUGGGGCCUGGCCAAGGUUAGAUUGCCUUUUUUUUUUUUUUUCCAGAGAUGCAUCACCAUGUCUAAUUUAUGAGGCUCUGGGGAUCAGAAUCAGAGCCUUGUGCAUCUAGGCAAGCACCCUACCAACAGCCAUAUCCAUGGCCUUCACACUGUUUCUUGACUCCUCUGUUCUGUAUGGGCUUUCUAAGAAAGCCCUUGAGACAGCCUAUCUGGAGAAAUGAUUGGGAGGCUACUUUGCCCAGCACUCUUCUAGCAACCACUUCACUUCUAGCUGUCCAGAAAGUCGGGUACACCAGGAGGGCCAGUCCCUGGUCUGAGGGAUUAGGGUACUUGGGUCUAAACAGCUCCUUUAAUGUAUGGGCCAGCCAUGUCUGCAUGUCUCGUGACCACUGAGGACAAGCUUAAGAAUAUCUGGGAAGGCACUCAAAACCCAUAGUCACUGUCUGUUGAUCCUAAUCUGAUGUCCCUGUCCCCACAGGAUGUGAGCUGUGGACAUGGGGAUGGGUCAGGUGUAUAUAGCCUCUUUUUUUUUUUUUAACAGGACCAUUGUAUGAGUCAAACUCAUUCUCCCCCUGCUUCUGCCUCCUGGGUACUAGGUUACACCAUACCAGAACCAGAGGUUUUGCCUCUUUCUCAGUUUUUUAAAACAGGGUUUCUCUGUGUAGCCUGGGUUGUUCUAGAACUCACUGUAUAGACCAGGCUGGCCUUAGACUCACAGAGAUCCACCUGCCUCUGCCUCAUGAGUGCUGGGAUUAAAGGAGUGUGCCACUGCCUUGAGCUCAAGGGUUCUCUUAAAGCAUCACAUGUAUGAGAUGGCUGUGUGAUUUGUGGGGCCAAGUACAAAAGAAAAAUGCAGGGUCCCUGGUUCUAAGAAAAAUGAAGCGAUGCUUCCCUUUUUCUUUGUCUUCUCCACCUGCCAUGGUACCCACAACUUGAUAGUUAAAAUGUCACAUUUCCUCAGGCACCAGGUUACCCACAGACACAAGUAAAUGCCUGAAGACACCUGGACCCAACCCACCUCCCUCUGCUGAAGCCCAGGCCCUUCUCAGGUUUAGAGUGUGGUGGGUCACUGGGCAGGGUGGUCAUAAAGCCCCAAGAACAGAGGCUAUAUCCUCCCAAGUAACAAGAUGCUCCACCCAUAGCUCCGGAUAUAGCCGAGUUAACAUCCAGUAUCAAUCCUGACGAUGGUUGAUAUUGGUUGUCAGCUUGACUACGUCUAGAAUGAACUACUGUCCAGACAUGGAGGGCACACCUGGGAGAGAUUUUUUUUCCUUGGUUUGAAGUGGGUGAAUCCCUUUCUAGUUGGGACCUUUUAGGUAGGAAGACACAUCUUUUUGUUGUUGUUUUUGUUACUGUUUUUCAAGACAGGUUUCUUUGUGUAGCCCUGGUUGUGCUGGAACUAACUCUGUAGACCAGGCUGGUCUCCAACUCACAGAAACCCACCUGCCUCUGCCUCCCAAGUGCUGGGAGACACACAUCUUUGAUCCCGAUUUUGAGGUGAGAAGACACCUGUAAUCCAGGCCACACCUUCUGUUGGAAGCCUCUAUAAGGACAGGGAAGAAGGAAGCUUUUGCUCUUUGCCUGCUUGCCCUUACCUUCAUUCAUUCCUUCACUGCCAUUAGAUCCUACUUCUUUGGGAGUCCAGCAUACACAGAAGACUAGCUGAGACAUCCUGUCUUAUGGGACUGAGCAACUACUGGAUUCUUGGACUUCAUUUUCACAGGCAGCUGUUAACUGUUGGAUUAGCUGGACUGCAGCUUUGAAAUCAUUCCAAUAAAUUCCCUUCAUAUGUAUAUACA